CUUUUCCCACAACAUCGAACAAAAGACGAAACACAAAGCAACAUCACAAGUUCACAAUCACAGAUUAUAAUGAGCAUGUUCGUUUAGUUACCGCCGGCGGUUGCGUUUUGCCGCAGGUAGUUGCGGCAACUAAACGAACAUAAAUAGCUGCGUCUGCCGCAGCCGCAGGUAGUUGCGGCGACGAAACGAACAAUCUAAUUAAUUCAUUUUGUUCACA
rnacentral:sRNA from 1 species